GGGAAAGUUACCUAAGGAAAAUGUUCGUAUGUAAUAUAUAGAAUCUGUAUCUAAUAUUAAACAAUUGUUAUAUACUGAUAUUACAUACAGAUCUAAAAAAUUAUUUUUAAAAGAAAUUAAAUUUUGAUUAAGCCUAAUGUACUGAAAAUGUAAACCCUAAUUCACGUCACUCGAACCUUCUCUCAGAGUUCUCGUUUCUCUCGAGCUCUCGUCUCUCAGAGCCUGUACCCUCACUCGAGCUUUCGUUUCUCGCUUCACUCCAUCUCUUCUCUCUCGAACCUUCACUUCACCUUGUGUUUCUUCUCCCUAAAAAAUCAAAUCUCUCUCACUUAAACCCUCAGAACCCUAGUCUUCUCUGUGCAUGUCUCCUUCGCAUUGGAGUUAUCCCGAAACCCUAGCCUUCACCGUGUGGAGAUGGUGGGAACGAUAGUGGCGAGACUGCAGGGGAUGCGGAGAGGAAGCAGGUGGUCUAGGAGGCGUUCCUUUCCCUGGUGCUAGUUCUCAAUUUGGGCUUUUUGCACACCGUCUUCUACGCUUUCUUUUACACNACCUUGGAUAUAAAGAGAUGGAUGAAGUGAAAGGUAUUAGUCUUUUACCAUAUGGAUGANGGNUGUUUGAUUUUUUGCUGGUAGAUAUGUCUACUUUUAAUGUUUAACCAUUUAAUAUUUGAUUGAGUUUUGUAACGAAGAGAGGGGAUUGUUAAAAGAAGGGAUUCUGUGAUAGCAGCAAAAGGCGCUUUAUUAUGUUACCCCUACCAAUCACAGUAAUGCCUCAAAAUGAAACAAGCUUUAUUAUGUUACCCCUACCACCUUCGAAAUUUAUUUUCCAGAAGACAAUAAAUAAUUUUAGAAGUUUUGUUUCUGGAAAUUUUUUCCAGAAGCGAAUCAAUCCCUCUUUUUACUUAAAGCAUUUUCCGAAAGCAUUUUGAUGGGGUGGGAGUUUACUUUCAAUUGCUUCCUGAAAGAUAACUUCUCUGGUCUCUGUUCACUUUCCUGUGCAAAUAUUUGACUCUAAUCUAAGAUAGUAUGGAGGUUUAUAUCCAAGGCCAUGCCUUGAAACCAAAUGAAACAUGCCACUGAUUAAAAGGUAUGGCAUUGUUGUUGAACAAACCUAGCAAUUGCUUGACAAGCUUCCUCUUUCACACCCUUUCUUAAAAUGGUAUGAUUGAAUUGAUCUAUGAUAGCAUUGUGUUUACUUUAGAAUUAUUAGAAAUCUGCAUAUGCUAGAAGAGAAUGUCGGUACUUUUUAAAAUUAAGUAUUGUUAUAGUGUAUUUCCGUUUUAGAAGAGAAUCUUGGUAUUGUUAUAGUGUAUUUCCAUUUUAGAAGAGAAUCUUGGUAUUGUUAUAGUGUAUUUCCAUUUUAGAAGAGAAUCUUGGUACUUUUUAAAAUUAAAUUAUUAAAUGACAUUACUUUUAGGAGGAGCUGUCUGCAAAGUUGUUGGAAUUUUUGGAGUCCCCACAUGCUACAAUUGACAUUCUACUUACUGAUAUAGANNNN
rnacentral:lncRNA from 1 species